UACGUAGGGUGCAAGCGUUGUCCGGAAUUAUUGGGCGUAAAGAGCUCGUAGGCGGUUUGUCGCGUCUGCUGUGAAAACUCGGGGCUUAACUCCGGGCCUGCAGUGGGUACGGGCAGACUAGAGUGCGGUAGGGGAGACUGGAAUUCCUGGUGUAGCGGUGAAAUGCGCAGAUAUCAGGAGGAACACCGGUGGCGAAGGCGGAUCUCUGGGCCGAUACUGACGCUGAGGAGCGAAAGCGUGGGGGAGCGAACAGG
rnacentral:rRNA from 1 species